UACAGAGGGUGCGAGCGUUGUUCGGAAUUACUGGGCGUAAAGGGCUCGUAGGCGGCCAACUAAGUCAGACGUGAAAUCCCUCGGCUUAACCGGGGAACUGCGUCUGAUACUGGAUGGCUAGAGGUUGGGAGAGGGAUGCGGAAUUCCAGGUGUAGCGGUGAAAUGCGUAGAUAUCUGGAGGAACACCGGUGGCGAAGGCGGCAUCCUGGACCAAUUCUGACGCUGAGGAGCGAAAGCCAGGGGAGCAAACGGG
rnacentral:rRNA from 1 species